AUGGACUCACUAGACUGCUGAGGAAGAUCCAGCACCUAUCUAUCUGCUGAAAACAUCCAGGAAACUACAUUUACACCGGGAAACAAGUAUGGAAGUGGUGAACUAAGAAGAGCCUGAGGAAGAAUUGUAUUGCCAGAUCAGAAACUCCAACUCUAAAGAAGAUGAGCGAACCAUCCAAAACCAACCAGUGCUCCUCUCCAUGCUGCCCACCAAAACCAUGUUGCCCACCCAAACCAUGCUGUCCGCAGAAACCUCCUUGCUGCCCCAAGUCCCCAUGCUGCCCACCCAAAUCCCCAUGUUGUCCGCCAAAGCCCUGUCCCUGUCCGGCCCCCUGUCCCUGUCCGGCCACCUGUCCUUGCCCGCUGAAACCACCAUGCUGCCCUCAGAAGUGUUCAUGCUGCCCCAAAAAGUGCACCUGCUGCCCACCGCCUCCGUGCUGCACUCAACCCACCUGCUGCUCUUCGGAGAACAAGACUGAAUCAGAUUCUGAUACAUCUGGCCAAAUUCAGGAUAAGGGCGCUCAAACCCAGUCCCCUAUCCAGAAGAAGUCAAACAAGUAACUGUCCCUGACACCGUGCCCUUCCUCAAAGGGUCAGGCUAAGACUAUGUUGUAAAGAUGCUGUUCCCACAAUAACCAGCAAGUCCACUCAACCAUAAGCUACCAUUUCAACCUAACCAUAGGUUACUAUUGCAACUGGAAAUGGAAGGUAGAAAAGGAUAGAAACAUCUUGUCUAGUGAUCCUGACAUUUAGAUAGCAAAGAAAUAAAAGAGCAAAUAAAAA